AAGAAAUAUACCCACCAAAAAAGGAGCAGCAGGAUAAAUCCCAAUGGAAAAUCUGUGCCUUUCUGCGGUUGGAGUCACUUGGUCAAGAAAUGAUGAAAUUACAAAUUUUUGUAAAGGGUGUGUGUUUUGGAGUUUCUGAGGUCCAGGUCUCAGCGUGAGAGUUGGGCAAGGCCAGCCUUUAACUCCGAUGCAGAAUAAAGAGAAGGAAGUGGUCACGACAAGCAUUCUUUCCCACCCCGGCAGCACCUCCCUGGUCUAACGUUGCCUGUCAGUCUCUUGUCUGCUGAACUUGGAAUCUAGCUCUCCCAGCAAGCCUGUGCCCCCAGUCCUCCCUGCAAGACCUUCGUCCUUUAACUCUCUAUGGGAAUGGAUCCAUCUCGGACUAACCCACAAGAAUAAUGUGAACCCAGAAGAACCAAGCACCCAGACCACGCUGUCCUUUUUCCCCCAUAAGCACUGUGGUUCACUUAUUCAGUCAUCCAACAAACAAUGACUGGGUACCAACUGAAUGAUGAAGCUAAGCCGAUGGGACAAAGAGGGCAGUGUUAUUCAAAGUGUGACCCAAGGAUGAGCAGAAGCAGCAUCAACUGAGAAUUUAUUAGAAGGUUCACUUCUCAGGCCCCCGUUCAGAGCCAUUGAACCCAUGCUUCUGGUGGUGAGGCUCAGGAAUCUGUGUUUUACCAAACUUUCCAGGAAACUCUAUGCCAUUUUCCAACAUCAUCGGUAGGGGCUGCAGUGUCCAAGUCCAGUGGCAGGGGCAUUGGAAUCCUUUCUGGAACCAUCCCACACUGCAUUUUGGGUGUUAUUCUCAGCUGAGUGGCCAUCCAAGUUUAAUUCUCUGGCCUUCCCAAAGAGUCUGGGAGGCAUCUGAUAUCCUUUAAUAAAUUCCUUUUUUGUUUAGACUA